UACGUAGGGUGAAAGCGUUAAUCGGAAUUACUGGGCGUAAAGCGUGCGCAGGCGGUUUUGUAAGACUGUCGUGAAAUCCCCGGGCUCAACCUGGGAAUGGCGAUGGUGACUGCAAGGCUAGAGUUUGGCAGAGGGGGGUAGAAUUCCACGUGUAGCAGUGAAAUGCGUAGAUAUGUGGAGGAACACCGAUGGCGAAGGCAGCCCCCUGGGUCAAAACUGACGCUCAUGCACGAAAGCGUGGGGAGCAAACAGG
rnacentral:rRNA from 1 species